rnacentral:rRNA from 1 species
UACGUAGGGUGCAAGCGUUGUCCGGAAUUAUUGGGCGUAAAGAGCUCGUAGGCGGUCUGUCGCGUCUGCUGUGAAAACUCGGGGCUUAACCCCGGGCCUGCAGUGGGUACGGGCAGACUAGAGGUAGGUAGGGGAGAAUGGAAUUCCCGGUGUAGCGGUGAAAUGCGCAGAUAUCGGGAGGAACACCGGUGGCGAAGGCGGUUCUCUGGGCCUUACCUGACGCUGAGGAGCGAAAGCGUGGGGAGCGAACAGG